CGGAAAACAAGUGAUGUGGAGUAAAACUUAUAAAAGACGACCUCAGUUCGGAUUGAAGGCUGAAAUUCGCCUUCAUGAAGUCGGAAUCGCUAGUAAUGGCAGGUCAGCAUACUGCCGUGAAUACGUUCCCGGGCCUUGUACACACCGCCCGUCACACCAUGAGAGUUGGAGAUACCCGAAGCCUAUGAGCUAACUUUUAGAGGCAGUAGUCGAAGGUAGAAUCAAUGAUUGGGGUGAAGUCGUAACAAGGUAUC
rnacentral:rRNA from 1 species